rnacentral:rRNA from 1 species
AACGCACCUUGCGCUCCUUGGUAUUCCGAGGAGCAUGCCUGUUUGAGUGUCAUGUUUUACUCAGUCCCCUCAGAUUUUUCUGACGGUUGGUAACUGGAUAUUGGAAGCUGCUGGACAUAUCUGUUCAGCUCUUCUCAAAUGUAUUAGCGUGAAUAUUUAUCGAGUGUUCUCCAGUGUAAUAAUUAUCUACGCUGCCGAACCUUUGAUGAGAUUAAUGUGUUCAUGCUUCGAAUCGUUUCCAUAGUGGAACAAAAUUACUUGCGUUUGACCUCAAAUCAGGUAGGACUACCCGCUGAACUUAA